GAUGAAGAACGUAGCGAAAUGCGAUAAGUAAUGCGAAUUGCAGAAUUCAGUGAGUCAUCGAAUCUUUGAACGCACAUUGCGCCCUGUGGUAUUCCGCAGGGCAUGCCUGUUCGAGCGUCAUUUCAACCCUCAAGCCCCGCUUGGUGUUGGGCCCCGCCCGUCGUGGCCGGCCCUAAAGACAGUGGCGGCGCCGCCUGGCCCUCAGCGUAGUACAGCUCUCGCUCCAGGGUCCGGCGGCCGCCUGCCAGAACCCCCCCAACUCUGUGGUUGACCUCGGAUCAGGUAGGGAUACCCGCUGAACUUAAGCAUAUCAAUAAGCGGAGGA
rnacentral:misc_RNA from 1 species